rnacentral:lncRNA from 1 species
GUGUCUGAGUACAAGAGUUACUGAGUGGUAUAAAAUUGUGUUUUGUUUUGUUUUCCAUAGGAUAUAAAGAUGUUUAAUUGGAUAACCUUAUUCAUUCAGCUGUGAUCUGCGGAAGGAUCUGAACAGGAGCUGGUUUGGAUUAAAGUCACAUACAAACUGAGCCAUCUCCAACAUCUACAUCAGGAAGUAACUCUAACUCAAGAUAGAGGUCAUUGGAGGGGCAACAGAGCAAACUGUCAUGGAGUUCCCUCAGUGAAGGUUGUUAUAAUCAUUUUGCUGGAUUCGCGUAACAUGAGGCAGUACAUAACUUGUCUGAGAAGCUUAAAGCUGUUGUUUCCUUCAUUGUCAUUUAGUUUACUCUCAGCCCAAGUUAUACACUUAUGUUUCUUGUAAUUUCAGCUCCUAAAUACUUGGUACCUCUUUAAAGAUUCUCCUUGCUGCCUUUGGAUCUUAAUUGACUAGAAAACAACUUUCAUAUUUACUUUAGCCUAAAUCAGAUUUAUGGAAGCUUCAUCAAAAAGCAAUAGACCCAUAUUAACAAAAUAAAAAAUACAAGAAGGUUCUAAAAACAUUGAAAAAUAUUGUCUGAAAGUGGUGAGUAUAAUCAAAAUUGGAUUAAUGUCUUUAUGCUGCCAUUUAUUAGCUUUGUGACACUGGGAAAAUCAUUUAACCUAUUGCCUUAGUUUGCAUAUUUGCAAAAUGAUACUUAGCAGUGCCUAGUUACAGUUGUGCUGUGAGGUUUAAAUGAGAUAAAGCAUAUAAAGCAUCUAGCAAAGUGCUUGGUCCAUGGGGAACCACUCAGGAGAAGUUAGCUCAUAUUACUAUACCUGGACUAAAUAUAGUUGCCGGUUUGUUUUUUAAUUAAUGUAUUAAUAAGAAGUAAAACAGAACUGGUAUAGAAAAAAAUAAACUAUGUAAUUCAAAGUUAUAAAGCCAAGUAUUUAAUUAAGAGUAAAUUGUGGCAGAUAAUAGAAUUAUAUAUAAAACAUAAGCUCCAAGAUGACGAUUCAAAUUAUUUACAGAUAAUUACAUUUAAAUAAUCAAUGUCAAAUCUUCCACUUCUAUGUGUUGUGUAUAUAUUAUUGUACUCUGAAAUAUAAAUUUGGCGUUUCUGAGAAGAUUUUGUUGUUGUUAACUUUUUAAGGUUGAAGGCAUUUUAAUAUCUGUAUUUUUUAUUUUUUAACUUAAAGAUUUUCAUAAAAAUUGGUUACUACAAAGUUGUGUUAGCUAAUUUACAAUGUAUUGUAUUAUUGACACACAUUUAUAGACUGUGCUGUUAAAUGAUGAGUGUAUUGCCAUCUACCCAGGCUAACAUUUUAUAAUUUUUUCUGAAAUUGUAUUGACAGCCAGUAAUAUGGUUAUGUUCAUUCUGAAUAAAUUAAUGAUGCUGAAGAGUCAAGAUUGAGAUUGCAACCAGAUACCUGUAAGUUUUAUAUUAAUAAAUGACACACAGGGUCUUAGAAAAAGAGAUAUCAUAACUUUCAUUUGGAAAAAUAGAUUUAGAAACAUAGUUACUAAAAUCUUGCUUUACUGAAGGUGAAAAGCAGCAGAGAUUUCCAAAAGUAAAAUCAGUAUUUAUAUACCCACAUGCUUACAAUAAUCUAGAUCAAUUUAUUUCUGUCUUUAAUGUGUAACAUUUCCCCCAGGACUUUAUGGUUUUUUUUGAUUAUUAUUUUGCUUGAAGUAUUUCUGUCUUAAAUAGAAAAACAAACUAAGACUGUUGGGCACAGUGGUUUACACCUAUAAUCCUAACAUUUUGGGAGGCCAAGGCAGGUGAAUCACUUGAGCCCGGGAGUUCAAGAUCAGUCUGGGCAAUAUGCGAAACCCUGAAUCUAUAAAAAAUAAAAAAAUUAGCUGGGUGUAGUGACCCAUGCCUGUAGUUCCAGGUACUUGAAAGGCUGAAGUGCGAGGAUCACCUGAGCCUGGGGAGGCUGAGGCUGUAGUGCGCCAUGAUUGCACCACUGCACUCCAGCUUGGUGACAGGAGUGAAGAGUGAGAGCUGUCUCCAGAGAAAAGAAAAGAAAAGAAAAGAAAAAAACUAAAGAAAAAGGAACCAAGACUUUAAAAAGACACAGAUAGAUGUUUUCCAACUGUGGGUUUACUAAGAUGAAAGACUGCUUAAUCCUCUUCUAAGGACGAUUUGGUUAUUUGUUCACUUCCUAAUUGCAUGUAUUUGCCCAAAUGAGACCCAAGAAACGUCCUGUGCCGCUACCGCUCCAUCUGUAACGACGCUGCUUGUCCAUGAAAUGACUUUUUUUCCAAACGGAUGUUUGCUCAUUCUUUCUUUUAUUUAUUGUCAUUUAAUACUUUUAAGGCUUGAGAAUUUAGAUCUUUUUCUGUCUACUUUUCAUUUUUGAAGGUUUUGAGUUGAGACUUCACAGAAAACUGAAUACAAAGGCACUUCUAUUACUUCCUGAUCAAAGCAUCAUCUGAAAAUUAGCUACCAUUAAAUUUCAAAUACAAAUAUAGAAAAAAGUCAAUCUAAUAUUAUCUUUAUUAUCCAAAAGGAAACUAGAAAGUCCUUUACAACAGAUGCAAAUAAGACAAUUCAAAAUUAAGUUCUCUACUUCUCUGAACUGCCUGGUAAUUGCUCUCUUUUGGCAAAGUACCUUUCUUUAUUUUGCCAUUUAAGAGGCUUUCUCUUAAGAGUUAUUUUUUUCCUUAUUAGUUGUCCUUCCUUCUAGCUUACAUGGCUUACAUUCCUAGGCUGUGUCCCCCCAGUCCUUUCACAGGGUCUGUGUGUACCCCCAAGUUGUUAGCUUGGAUAAUUUGCAAAUAAUGACAUGGAAAAUAGACACAAAAUGUAAAGAUUUUAUGUGAUAAUGUUUUUAUGACACUGUCCCAUCCAGCUGCACAUUUUACCUGCACAACUUAUUCCCACAUGUAAUUCACAGUAUUUUUCCCCAGUUCCAAUGCUUUAGGAGAGAUUAACCAGAUUGUGUUAACAAAGAACACGUCCAUGUAGUAUGCACCUGUACAAACGUGUGCAAUUAUUUCCUCAUUCUGCAAUUCAUUGGUGUUCUGAUUCAUUUAGGUGCUAAAAUUUUAAUUCACAUAAAAUAUUUCUAAGUAAGCAGUUCCAAAAUUUUGGUUUUGACUUGUCUUAAAAUAUUUCCAAGUAAGCAGUUCCAAAAUUUUGAUUUAGAUUUUUUUUUUUUUUAAAUUUUUUGGCCCAACUUAACUGAAAAAGAGAAGGCAGAAUAGUAAAUCCUCCUGAAUCUAUCAGCAAUGGAGAGGACAGUAGGGUCUCAUUUUCAUUUAUGCUGUCAGAUUGAUUGAUUAGCUUUUAUUAUACAUGGGUUAUGUGCCAAACGAUGUCUUUUGAUUCGGAUUCAAGGAAAACAGCAGGAAUCUUGAACAAUGAAAGUUCUGAAAGAGUUGUUAUUUCUGGCCCUUUGAUAGAAGUAUAGAG